CAUAACUCAAAGUAAUGGAAAGUAAUGGAAAACACGGUACAAAAUAGAAUGUAUUUGGUAUAAAGAACUUUAGUUUUAACAUUACAGUUAACGAAGAGAUGCUAACAGCGAGGUAAUCUAAGGAUCUUUGAUUCGAAUUACUGUUUUUGUUUAACAUUUAAAAUCCACGACUAAUUUGAAAUGGAUGGGAUUGAAGAGGCCAGAAUACAGCUGUCAGAAAUCGAGCUGUUGCUAAGCAUAUCUCGGGCCACCUAAUGUUCAGCAGCUGCUGUACCUAUUUUACUUUAAGUAUCCUUUGCUUUUGUUCCAUUUUGAUCUGUUAAAAAUCACAUGAAUAAUUUUAUGUUGCGUUUUUUAUAACAAACUAUACUGUUGUUAUCCUACCCAUACUGUCUUACUUCAGACAAGGUAGUUCGUUCCAAAACAAUUUAACAAUGCAAUUUAAAAGAAAAGCCUAAAACACUGUAGAAUUAAACAUAUUUGUGUAAACUUCAUAAGCACUGUUUCCAGAAACAGAUGUUAAUGAGGAUAACAUCACAUAGAAAAUAGGCUUUCGCUUCCUACUGCUAGAAUAAUAGUGUUAUGCCAAAAUACAGUAGCAAGUUUGUUACAAGGGUCAAAAGCUAAACCUGAAAUUCAAAAACCUGUAGUAAAACAGACCCCAUUUAGUUUAUCUCAUUGGGUACUUCAGCUGUUACUUAUACAGUAUGCAGCUAAUAAUAUUGAACAAAUACAAAAAAAAGAUUUGUUACAGAAAAAAAAACCAUUAUGUUUCUCUUUACAGGCUCCGACGGCUAACUUGGCAGAGAAUCUUAAUUCGCCAUAGAGAAGACAUUCCUUUGGAUAAUAACUGUGUAAAUAUUGAUGCAGAGCUAGAAAAACAAAGGAGAUUUACUGGGUUUGAAGAAACCAUUUUUGACAUUCGUGGAAACAGAGGAAAUCACAUGGACCUAGGACAACUCUAUCAUUUUCUGAAUGAAAAGGGCUGUGGAGAUGUUUUUCAGCUGUAUUUUGGAAUUGAAGGAAGGUAGCCUCAGAUUGUGAUUACAUCAUACACACUCUGCCUAUCGAGAGCACCUUUGAAAACUGGAAUGGAAACCCCAGAAGCAACCAUUAACAAGUUCAUCUAAUUUUACCGUGGUUAGUUUCAACAAUAAUACUUGGAAAAUCUGAAAGUUAUUAAAAAGUGCUUUCUGACAAUCUGGUAGAGGGUGAAAAAAAAAUCCAAGUCUUAAAACAUUACAAAAAAAUAAAAUAAAUGUAUUUCAUGUUAGUCUUAGAAUAUUUUUGGUAUGGUGGUUCUAAUUUAUGGAAAUUGAUGUGAUUUGAACAAGUAACAUUUUAUGAUAAAAAACCUCUCUUGUUCUAACAUUCUGAAGACUUACAAGAUGUCUAAUAUUCAACCAAGAUACAUUUUUAAUAAAUACUAAAAUACUGUG